CUGGCUCAAUGCUCAGCAAGCAUCUUUAAGCUAUAAUCAGGCUUGUUUAUUUUUGCAUCUACUGGUGGUGGUUCAUUAUGUUUCCUCAUACCUACUUGUUUUGGUCCUACGUGGCUGUUGUGGCCUACACUAGAGGUCUUCACAGUGCACCCGAGACCCGUCGACCCCGGACCCCACCCGGGACCCGUACGGGUUCGGGUCUAUAUUUUAAAUCAUCAGCCGGGUCCGGGUCGGGUCCGAAUCUAUUACCUCGGGUCCCGGGUCUGUUUAACAUUGUGUGUAAUACCCGUGCGAUCGCCGAUCGAAGAACAUCUGACAUCUGACUCGAAGAACAUCCGGCCGUGAUCAAAGACUGCUUGUGUUUUUUGUAACUUGCAACUUGUAAAAUUAGGAAAAGAAAAGAGUGAGCCAAAAAAAAGUGAUCUCUCUCUCUCUCUCUCUUGCUCGCACACUCAGAGUUAAUAUACAAGUGCAUACUUGACACACUCAUAUUUAAUAUAUUUCAAAUCAGCAACACAAUCUGAGGUGAACUGUCUCAUGAAUGUUUUCUAUUACGCUCAAAUUGCGUUGAAGCAUUUUAGGUUGAUACAGCUAGCACGCAUGUGCAGUCUCAAGCGCAUUUCAUGUUUCUAUGGCAACCAGUGAGGGACACUUGGACUGCCAAACCGCGUUUUACAUAUUUCUCCCAUUUUUAUAAUAUUAUAAAUGAACCGUUUAUUCUUAAAGUUUUAGUGGUUCAGAUUCAAACUCGAUGCAGAGCAGAGAGCACAGACAGAGAUCAGAUGAUAGUAAAUAAAUAACGUCAGCGGCAUGGCAUUGCACGAGCGAUCGUUAUUAUAGUUCAAAAGGGCAAACAGUCUAAGUUAUUAAGCGAAUUAACUCGAGUCAGAAUGUACAUGUGCACAGUAGCAUUUGUCAUCCUUCACCGUGACAUCAAGUGGACUUCUGAAGCUGAAAUAAUGAGUGGAUUCAGCUUGGACUUGGAAUAACGAGAUGAAAAACAUGGAUAACUUUCUUGUCGGAGGAUUGUAAUGCAUCACAAGCAGUCGGGUACAAGGAAGAGAGACUACGGCUCUUUAAAUUAGUUGCCAGAUGCUGUCCUGUUGGAAAUUCUUCUUUACGUGAUCCUGGAGGAGGGGUGAUGCUACAUUACUAAGUCUGUCUUUGGUUUGUUCCAAAUUCAGAAGUCUGCUGUACUGUAUACAGACUCCUUUCGAAAGAGGGCACAAUCCAGCUGGCUUGACGGAGUAUCUUCUUUUACAUAUUUGAUUAGAGGUUUAAAAAGGUGGAACAAAAUGGAGAACAAGUCUGAGCCAUGUCAGGAAUUCAACAAAAUGUACACCCUGCAGACACUGCGACGAGGUUUACAACAACUGCUUACCAGGUCACUGCAGUCACCCGGAUCGAGUACGUAUCCAGACCAGAUGGUGGAUCGCACCUAGAAAGGACCUCUACUGCCCUGAAAGACAGCGGAGACCAGGACAACUAGAGCCCCAGAUACAGAUCCCCUGUAAAGACCUUGUUUUUUCUCCAUUUUGUCACUGGUGGAGUUUUGGUUCCUUGUCGCCUCUGGCUUGCUUUGUUGUGGUCACUUAAUUUACAGUGAUAUCAUUGACAUGAAUGCAAACGAUUCCACAGAUACUAUUUAAACUGAACCGAGUUGAAGGAUGACAUCACUGAAUUGAAUGAUAAACUGUCUUUUAAACUGACUACAAACUGAGCUUACUAAUGUCCUUCUGCAUUAUUGACUGACACACUAUUUUCCUAUUUAAUACUGUAAAGUUGCUUUGCUUUGAUCUGUAUUAUUAAAACCACUAUAUAAAUAAAUUAUGCUUGACUUGACCAUGUUGCAAGAGGAAAAUGAGGUGAGAUGCACAUCCACUCUGGGUUUUACAGUGAUUGGUGCAAGAUGCUGGAGAAGUAACUCUGUAUACCUCAUCAGUUCUGAUCUAAGAGUCUUGAAAAUACCUCCGGAUUGUUGUUAGUGAUUCUGAUUGAUAUUUUAGUCUGCUUGCUUACUGGAUAUAUUUUAUACUGUUUACAUUGUAAAGCACUGACUUUGACAACUUACUAACCCAGUUACAAAUUUAACAGCUACUUUAUACUAUAUAUAUAGUUGUUUCUUGAAAUACUACAAAUAUAACUGCAAAUUAUGAUUUUAAAUAAAGGUCUCUGAGACUUC